AACAGAAUUUGCAUUAAAUAAGAAUAUAUAUAUAUAUGUAACUUAAGAGUCUAAGAAAUGACCAUUAUAAAGGGCAGAGACAGUUUUCCACAUGUCAGUAUUGUCAGUGGUUCUGAUUCUUUUGAAUAGGUUUUAGCUCAUUCUUUUUAAAAACAUUCAUUUAAAAACCUCCACUCAUUGAAGUAUUUAUUGUAGUAUUAUCUUUACUUUUGUUUUAUCUGUCAGGUAAGUACCUGUAUGUCCCUGAGAAGAAUGGAGAGUGUUUCCGUAGGGUUGUGACCGAUGAAGAGGAGAAGACUGCCAUUCGCAAUGAAGUUCACACAGGACACUUUGGGAUGAAGAGAAUGAUGGGGAAAAUCAUUCAACGAUUUUACUGGAAAGGGAUUGUAAAGGACGUGGAGCAAUGGAUCCUGAAUUGUGAAGCAUGCCAGAGAUUUGAGAGGGUGAAGACUGUUGCCCCAGAACUGAAGCCAAUCAAAGUUGUUUCUCCAUGGUACAUGAUCGGUUGUAUCACUGCUGCAGUACAGUGGAAAGACAGUUUGGAUCGUGUGGCCACAUGUACAGCAGCAGCAGGGAUGUAGUGACUGUGGACUGUUUACCAUCGCAAACAGCCUCGCACUCUGCAUGGGUGAAGAGCCAGGUAAGUUAUGUUAUGAUCAAAAGCAAAUUCGUGAUCAUCUUUUUUCUUGUUUUGUAGCUGGAUCUCUUACUCCUUUCCCGAGCUGUGAGAGAACUCCCCUCCCAGAGGUACAUUUCUGUGAUGUGGAGGUCUACUGCACAUGCAGGAGACCAUACAGGAUUGGACUGGAGCUGCUGGUGGAAUGCGGGAGGUGUGGCGAAUGGUUCCAUGGCCAGUGUGAAGAUCUACAGCGAGAUGACCUCAUCAGUAUGGAGGAGUAUAUGUGCUCCAUUUGCAGAGUUACACACAUGGGUAAGCAUGGUAAGUAAAGGUGAAACAGAUUUAUUAUUUUGUUUUUUACUAUAUGUUUUUUUGAACAUUUUAUACUAAGCAUUCCAGCUUAGUAUAUUAUACUAACACUAAAAUUUGGUAAUGCCUGUCAUAAUUUAUAGCUAUUUACAUAUGUACAGUAGGGCAUUGUUAAUAAGGCUCAUUGUCUUCAGUGUUUAUUUUUCAUGAGCACACAACUACUUAUUUUGAAGACUUUUUUUUUUCAGGAGACCUUGAUUCUAUAUUGAGACGUUUUUAUUUGGAGAAAUAUUGCAGAUGCUUUUGCACUUUCAUUUUUAAUUGGUAUGGUAGUCUUAGUUCCCUUUCA